rnacentral:rRNA from 1 species
AGAACGAACGCUGGCGGCAGGCCUAAUACAUGCAAGUCGAACGCACUCUUCGGAGUGAGUGGCAGACGGGUGAGUAACGCGUGGGAACCUUCCCAAUGGUACGGAAUAACUCCGGGAAACCGGUGCUAAUACCGUAUAAGCCCCUCGGGGGAAAGAUUUAUCGCCAUUGGAUGGGCCCGCGUCGGAUUAGCUAGUUGGUAAGGUAAUGGCUUACCAAGGCUACGAUCCGUAGCUGGUCUGGGAGGAUGAUCAGCCACACUGGGACUGAGACACGGCCCAGACUCCUACGGGAGGCAGCAGUAGGGAAUCUUGGACAAUGGGCGAAAGCCUGAUCCAGCCAUGCCGCGUGAGUGAAGAAGGCCUUAGGGUUGUAAAGCUCGUUUUGGCGGGGACGAUAAUGACGGUACCCGCAGAAUAAGCCCGGCUAACUUCGUGCCAGCAGCCGC